CUUUCUUUUUUUUUCCCUCUUAAAAGGGAUUUGUACCUACAAACAGUAAGCUCCCUUGGGACUGCCUCUGCUUCCCCCAAGAUCACCACUGUUUGUGUUGCCAUGCUGGAGGUGUGAGACUGGGGUGUCACCCAGACACAUGACUUUGGGAAUAAAGUGAUUUAUAGCCUGAGCCCUAAAUAGGACAUGAAUCCAUGUUUCAUUUGCUCCUGGUGGCUUACACUGAGAGAUCUGUGCAGGCUACUUCUGUCUUGCUUUUUCUUCCCAACUUUGGUGUAGCUUUCACAUCACUGCAUAUAAUUAUGCUAGCAAAGAGGGGCUGGAGGGUUUGAAGAGCUGAGGAAGGUUGGCUUUUUCCAGUUCCUGUUAAAGAGGCAGUAACUUCUGCAAUGAGUGAGGGAACAGGCAAUUCUCCAGUCCCUGUGCAAAGCCAGGGUGUCAGGCCACAGGCAGAAGAAAGAAGCAGCUGUGUCAGCUCCCCAGGUAUUUGGGGACCUCUGGUCUGGUGCCACCAAAAAAAUCACAGGCAUUUCUCAUGCACUACCCUGAGAACAACUGGACUGUUUACACCACCAUUUUCUGGAAUGGGUUUACAUGCCAUGCAUUCAAACUUUAGUUUGCUUUGUCCCAACUUUCCUGUGCAGGCAAUCCCUAAGUAACCACGUUGCCCAAAAUUACUUGCCCACUUGAAUUUGGAUAAGUACAUGCUUUCCCAGCUGGCUCAUUGUUCUGCUGCUAAAUAUUGCUCAGAUAUCCUAGCCAUGCCAAGCCUGAUUUUUAUCUGUGGAUUCUGCAAGGCAAGCUGUGCAAUGCAAAUUAUUCCGGUGUAUUUGCAGGUCUGUGCUGAGGAGGAGAUCCCUGGAGCUCGAUCCUUCUGUUUCCCAGAAAUGUAUGCAACAAUCAGAGCUGAUGUUACUCCUGUUUAACAGCACUAUAGGGAAGAGUUAUGCUGCAUAGGAGUCCCUCUGCAAACAAAGGAUAUCUAGAAAACUUCCCAGAUAUUUCUCAGGACCUGUACUGGAUCGCAGACAGAUGUCAUGGAGGAUGUAGGUAAAAAACCCAGCAUUUCCAUGUAUAAAAAAUGUGUUCACAGUGUCAGCUGGCAUGGGCACGUUGCUGUCCUCAGAGUAUCUGGCUACCAAUGCUGAAAACUUCUGAUUCUGGUAUAUCAUGUGGUCUUGGGGUGUGUAACAGCUUCCAAAACAGGAAUUAUCAUCCUCUUGUUUGAAACAGAGAAUGUCACAGUGCAUGGACAUGGACACUGCUGCUUCCCGGUGUUUCCCCUGGUGAGGUGCUGCUGGUUCAGUUGUUUAUGCUGCAGUUGAACUGGGAGAAUAGUGAAUAGUGCAGAGAAGGGGUGGUGAGUCAGGCCCAUGAUUAAGUGCAGGAAAACAAGCUGUGUGUGCAAAGUGAUCUGGGUACGGAGCUGGAAAAUCCAUCCGACCCCUUGUGCUGCUGGUUUGAGGAGACUCGUGUUAUGAAAGUUCCUGAGCCAUUAGUCAGACUUAUUUUUCAGGGGAUACUGGCAUGUUGGGAAACUUUGCAUUUACUUCCAUUUUAAUGUUCUUUUGUUCUGCAUUCUGACUCAGAAUAAUACCUUUCCCUGUGAGACAGAAUUACAGCUGGAACCAGAGUACCAGGAUACCAGAUACCUUAAUCCGGUAUCUUAGAAAUCUGCCUCACUGACAGCAGUUAGAAAUCUUUAUCUCUACCCCCAGUUUCUCAGGGAAUCCUGGGCAUAUCUUGUGAAGGUUCUCUCUCCCUGUUUUUAUCCUUGCUUUGGGAUCAGAUGACGUCUGGCUCCAUUGCUUUCUGAGCCUUUGGAUAAUUUAUUCUUUCCAUUUCUCUUCCAGAAUGAUCUAUAUGAUCCUCCCCUGGGACAUUUUAAUGUCUGGAAUGAACUCCCCCAUCUCAUCCAGAGAAGACUGAAGCAGAUGAUUAACUGUAGCCAAAUCUACCCCUGUUUCUCUCUAAAUUAUCCCUUACUGUCUCCUCCUUCCUUCCCUUGGUUUUAACGAACAACCUCAUGAAACAUCUGACUUCUUGUUUUUUCUAGGGAAAAAUUUUAAACAAAACCACAUUCAGACACACAGACAUACACACACAAGGCAGACAAUGAAUGCUCAGAGACAACCAGCAGCAUGCUCACAGAGGCAGGCUUAUAUACAGAUACAAUGACGUAAAUCAACACCCAGAAGCAUUUAUUAAAUUACCCAGAUAUAUACACAGAGGGACAGGCAGAUGGGUUAAGGCUGCUUUUUUAUUGGUGGAUAAAUGAAAACAUCACUUUAAUACCCACAGGAGAGUAUUUUGGAAAAGCAGUGUCAGCAGCACAUAUUAAAGAUGAUAAUAUCUCUUUAUUCACUCUUGCAGACUAAUUGGCUUGUCCUAGGAAAGGUCAGCUACUGCUGCAUAGCAAGUGUGAACCCAUACACAUUCAUAAUCAAAAAUCAGUGUGAAAAAAGCAUAGCAGUCAAUCCCAAAAUCAUCCCUUGUUCCCAGGCAAAGAAUGGUUCCUGGAACUUGCAUCCCUGAACUCCCACUUUUGAUUGCUCUGGACAGCCAUGUCUUCCUUUUCUCUUGCUCAAAGACAUGAGAGCAAACUGUACAGUCACAGGAAGAAUUAUUCCCAGAAGCCAGCUACACAGCUCUUAAUGCUUUAAAUACACUUUUCCUUGAAUGCCCAUCAUCCUUAAUGUAUGGAGCAUUAGCUCCCACACCAAAUUAAGGAGGCAUUUUAACCAUAGAUGUAAGUUAACUGAAACAACUGCAUGAAUUAAAGCAAAUUAAAACAAAUGUCUGUCUUUUCAGGCCCACAUUCAGGAUUUUGCUUUAAAAACUACUAAGCUAAGAUAACUGUAAUUUCCUUAGAUGACCUUGAACUGUGGGACUCAUCUGUAUCUUCACUAUGGUUACAGUGAGGUGUAAGUUACGUACUAUGAGGCCUCUAAACAUGACAACUCAGCCCCAUCAUCCCUGCUUACACCUUCCUACCCACUGCCCCAGUCCUGCUAACUUCACCCAACAUUUUCUUUGCUUCUUGUUUCACUGUUUAAUUCAGAUAGUGUUUAGGACUGUAAUGAUCUUUGCUCUUGACUGCAGGACAAACAAGAGGCCAAACCCCACCUGCCUGCACUCACAAACAAGGCCUGGAACACAGAAUGCCUUUAUUGUCCUGCUGUUGAUAAUGAUAACCCAACCCUGCUCCAUGCUGCCCACGUUGCAUCCACUCCCUUUGCUCCCAUCACCUGUGUGGCUGUGGUAAACAGAUGUAAAUUGAUAUCUGCCUUGGUGCAAUUUGCUGAUGGAGUUAACCAAUCCACAAGAUGUUUUGCAGCAACAGCUAUACCAUCCCUAAUGCUCCCAAGGUCUUACUAGAGGCUCAGGAGCUGGUGCUGGAUAGCUGGUGUUUUCCUACAAUGUCUCAUUCUGCAUUUUCAUCUUAAAGCUUUCUAUAGCAUUAGUGAAGAGCUUAAUCCAAAUGUACUCUUUUCAGCUUAGGUAUUUCAUGUUCUGAAAAAAUAGCCUUAUAUACUGGAAGAAAUUUAUAUAUCAUAGAAAACACCUCCAUUUUGCAAUGUUGUAGUAGCUCAGAAACUCUGGUUUUGAUGGUCAGCUGCAGCCUUGGGCUCUAUUAAAGUUACAGACAUAAAUGAUUUCUUCUUUUUAAUGAUUUUUUUUUUUUUUGCUUAUGAUGUGUGAUGCAUUUCUUCUAGGUAUAUGGUACAGUCUGUCCAUUACUGACCAUCUGUUCUUUUCAGAGAAUUCUCUGGAUUUGUCAUCUUCUUGCUAUGUUGCAUUUCACCUGGUGACUGUCCUAAGCAAAUGACUGUUAUUUUCUAUUUUCUGUUGCCUUUUGUAUUGAAAGGCCUUCAAGGAUAUUAUACUUUCAAGAAAUAAUCUAUGCUCUGCUGAUGGGCAGGUAAAAAUACAAGGUAUGUAAUGACCAAAGUUCCUUUACCUGUAUCUGUGAAUCUGUAACCAUGAAAGAUAACCACAUUAAAUUGAUGCACCUCACUGUCCUUUGUAUCUGUUUACUUAUACUUCUUAGGCCAGGGUCCGUGUUAGAUGUAUUUACAAUGUUCUUAGGACAACAAAGCCUCCAGCACUGGAUGAUGUGUAUUGUCAUCAGACAGGAGCACUUUACUUUUUUAAAGUAAAGUAUACUUUAUAGCCCAGCUCAUAUUAAGGUAAGGAUAGGACUGUAGAAAAGUGAGAGAGUUUCAGCGGCCUUUUGUGUAACAUUGUUUUGAAGGGAUUGUAACACAGGAUUUUAUAAUUUCAUUAUAAAAACAGUAAUUAAGGAUGUUUUAUCUUCUCUUUCUAUGACACCUCUUCACCAGAGAACCUGUGAUACUAAUCCUGCUAAUACUUGAUGCUUUUUCUCUAGUCUGCUUUUUUUCCUUCCCUUGGUCUUUAAAAAAAUAAUCCAAGUCUUUCAGCAGUUCAUCCACUUCUAAUUUCACUUCCCCAUUUGUUGGUUCAGUGAGAGAAGAUACACUUCCCUAAUCUGGUGACUAGUUUUUUCUUUCUUAGCUAUUCUUCCUCUGUUUUGGGGAAACUUCACCUUAUUGUGACAAGCUCAGAGCUCUGCAUCAUACCCCAUACUUCCCUUUGACUUUUUAUAUUUGGUUGUGUUACAGUGAUGUUUUAUAUGUGCCAAGAGCUAAUAGAGCAUUUCAAACUGAUUAGCACUUGCUGCUUGGAAUGACUGGUAGGAUGCAAUCUAUUGAUGAAAUAGGAAAUAUUAGCUGGGGGUGAGAACAAUAAUGCAGACAGUGUAAUGGAAAUGGUGACUUUUCACUGCAUGCUGCCAAAUGAUAUUUUUUUACAUAUAUCCUGAUUUAAGCAUGAAAGUAAAUCAAGAUGACAGCCUGAUGAGAGCUCACCUUUUCCAGGGCUUUUUUCAUGCCUGGGUGUGUGGGUGGCCCUGGAAAAAGGCCAUAAAGAAGAAGUUUAGAACUGCUGUAAGUUGGAACGGUGAAGGUGAGGGAUACCUUAGCUGUACUAUCUGGUUGGGAGAAGCAAAGUGAAAAAGGAAAUUUCAGGCUCUUUCCUCUCUGUAUCUUCUGCUUAUCUCUUUCCUACUGACUUUAGGGUUUUUUACUGACUUUAGGUUUCUUUUAGUUGCCCUUUUAUUUCUAUUUGUUUAAUCCAGAUUUAGACCUGAUAUUGUAAGAGUUGGGACUUCCUCUUUCCACUUAAAUUAAUCAUUUCACCACAGAAAUUCUGUUAAUUCUGCUUCAUUUCAGAUACAUUUAACCUACUUUGUAUCAUGCUUCAUCCCACUAAAUCAGAUCUGGGAAAAGUCAGACUGGAGUGCUGCUCAGAUCAGCAGAUGGCAGGCUCCUUCUAGCAAUUGGUACCACCAGCUUCAUCCUACAUCCCCCUACAUCGGAGCAUCUGAUGAUGACAGGCAGAAAAAAAAGUAUUUCUGCAUCAUGCACUCAAGAGUGUGCACUAUGUCAGUGAGGAAUCAAAGAUAUAUUUGUCCCCAGGGUCUGCACAGCUCACAAUCAGCCCUGUGCUGUAAUGUGCAUCCACCGGGAAAGCAAGAACCCAGCGACUGAGUAAUUUGGAGAAGAGCAGAAAUGUGAAUGCCAGAGAUGUCAGAGAAUUGCAAUCUCACAGCAGAGUCUGAUUUCCCACUUACUACUCCUCUGUGAGGUGUCUUUCAGAGUUACUGUUAGUCUCGGGAGUGGAUAAUGAGAAAUUUGGGGAAAAGAAAGAGCUUCUUGCAAAUUCAGUCUUUAUUUUCUGUGUCUGUGAUCAAUGGUGCCCUAAUCAAGGCCUUCCUUUCCUCAGGGGCAGCUACUUCUUGCAGAGUGGGUUCCUUUAAUCUUUAUCUAUUUAGGUUUAAAUGUCCGUCACCCCUUUUGGGAAGCAAUUCAGUUGCCCAAAGUUUUAUGACUUACUGAAUCCCCUUAACACCAUCACACUGAUUAAUUUAAACAGAUACAAAUGCAGGACUUUUAGCAUUACUGAGACUGGAUCUCUUUGAUGUUUUAGGUGUUUGCUUGAAUGUGUUGUAUUUCCCAGUUUCUCUAAAGAGUGGUUUAAAAGUAUUUUUAACAAUACAGCAUUGUUAUGAAAAUGAGCUGACUAGUGAGUCUGAUAGCAGGAAUUUGCUCUGAGUCGACAGUGGCAAUUUGCAAGCAUUGACUAAUGAAUUCCAUAAUCCAGGCAGCACCUCUGUGAAUAAGGGAAGAAAGCUCCAUUAUCUCUAAUAUGCAUCGAGGAUCCAAACAUGAGAGGAGCAGCUGCUGUGUAAGAGUCUAAAUGGAUAUUGAAUACAAUUUGGGAAUUCCUGGUCCUUGUUGCUCUGCUUGGAAAAACCGUAUGUAUCUCACAUCUCUGAACAGACAACUCCCAGGGAUGUGCUAAGCAGACAAGAGAAGUGGGUGUUUUUUUGUUACAGAAAGCAUGAUUGUAGUAGGCCCUUACAGCCUCUGUCAAAAAAAUUCAGUGAGAGACAAUAAAAGGAGAUUUAUAUUUUCUUUCCUCUUCGAUUGACUGGGAAAAGAGUUUGCCAAGUCAUGUGUUAAUGUUGUAACAUGUAGACAUGUUAACAUGUAAAAUGAACCAGGAGUAAUUAAUAGUGUAGCAAGUGAUUAUUAUUUCUUUUUCUUGUUUUCUCUUUUAAAGCAUACAACAAAUCCUCCAAAGCCCCUGUGGGCCCUGUGGUCAGCACAUCCCUUGUUGAGGCAUCUAAUUGUCCGUGUCUGGCCCUUGCCACAGCUGCUCUGUUAGUUCCCUCAUAGCUUGACAAGUAUCCACUGUAUGGGUUUACAUUCAGACAAGGUGACUUUAGUCUGUAUUUUUUUUCCUGCAAAAGUUUUGGCACCUCAGGUGUUUUCUCAUGGGUAUUCCAAGCCACUCACCACUAUGAAAUCUGUGCUAGUGGCACUGAGCAUUUGACACAAAUUGCUGCUUUCUUUUCCUUCACAAUAUCACAUUUCUUUUGUUUUAAGACAUGGGUGUAGAUGGGUGUUACUAUGCUUAAGAUGGUAUGUCAGGAGACUGCUUCUGUGUUAGCACACAAAAAUGAUCUCUGCAGAACACCUGAUGGAACUGAGUGUAGAUCUCCAAGAGACCAAAUGCUGGAAAUGCAUAAAAAGUGGCAGUUUUCUCUUAAGACUGGAAUCCCAGGUAUUUGCAAGUGUUUCUGUUAAUGCUCUUUCCUGGUUUUACAGACAUACAACUGAGCAGAUGAAUAUUCUCAAUAAUAUAUGUCACAACUGAAUUGGUUUUGGAAAAGAGGGGAAAAAAAGUCUGUUGCUGACCCAGAAGUCUUAUCUGCUUUAAACUGGCAGGUUUACUUCCAGUGGGUGUAUCCAUGGUGGGUAUAUCCCAGGUUUCCAGGCUACAGUGUCUUUCAGGAAGCGAUGCUUCUGUUUACAAAGCCUAUUAUGAAAUGGCAAUGAAUAAUAAAAAAAGAGCAAGAUACAAAGAAGUGCAAAUGAAAGGGCAGAGUCCAGGAGUGGGCAGAGUCCACAAGUAGGGUACAGAACUGGCAGGUGUGUCUGAAUUGCCUUUCUGUCAAUGUCCUCUCUUCUGGAGAAAACAGUUUUACCUCUGCUCACUUCCCUCCCAGCCCCACGUUUUAGUUUUGGUCCAAUUGCACUGAUAUUUCUGCAGAGUAGAACAAAUCUCUAUCUCCUUCCCUCUUCAAAUUUGACCUGUACCUAGAAGCACUGACUUAAAGGAGCCUCUACUUGGUAGUAGUAUCAACAAUAAAGAAUAAACUAUUCAAUUUUCA